rnacentral:rRNA from 1 species
UACGUAGGGUGCGAGCGUUAAUCGGAAUUACUGGGCGUAAAGUGUGCGCAGGCGGCCAUGCAAGUCGAGUGUGAAAGCCCCGGGCUUAACUUGGGAAUUGCGCUCGAAACUACGUGGCUGGAGUGUGGCAGAGGAAGGUGGAAUUCCACGUGUAGCGGUGAAAUGCGUAGAUAUCGGGAGGAACACCAGUGGCGAAGGCGACUUCCUGGCCUGUUCUUGACGCUGAGGCGCGAAAGCUAGGGGAGCAAACGGG